GUGCUCAUUUGGGCAGCACACAUGCUGCAGCUGGAGCGCGAGAGAGGAGUUGCAUAGCCCUGCACAAGAAUGCCAGGCAAAUUUGUGAACUGCUGCAUAUUUUU
rnacentral:snRNA from 1 species